GAAGAGGUAGAGGAAUUUGCCUGAGAGAAAUGCGAGCGGUUAUCAAGCGACGACCAACGACGGAGAGAAGCGAAAAUCUACUCCUCUCCCGGAAUCGAAUUCAAUGAGCGAAUUGACGCUUGAAGCUGAAGCUUUGAGAGCCUCUAUUGAUAUAUAUAUGGGCUGGGGAAUGGGUAUAUUGAUUUAGCACAAGGAAGCUCAUAAGGAAAGUUGGACUAGCUAUUCUAUUAAGCCUUAUCGCCAGAAAACACUACAGUUGUCACUGUGCUCUACAGUUGUCACUGUGCUUUGGUUGGACCAAAAUCACCAUCGGCUGUUGGGCUGAGCGUUAACAAUGGCUGCUGGUGAAGGGGAAGAAUUCGUCUACAGGAUUAGCACGGCUUAGGAAUGGGAAGCAUUGCAGAACAAUGGAUCUACUUUUGGCGAAAAUUUGGACAAAUCCUCUGGUUUCAUUCACUUCAGCUCGCUUCAUCAGGUGAAGCCCACACUGCAGAAUUUUUUCUCUAACGUCAAGCUGGAUUUGUACCUUCUUCAAAUUGAUACCAAGACGUUGCAGCUCGGAGGUGAAUUGGUGUAUGAACUUGUGGAUGAUUCGAACAAAUUCCCGCACUUCUAUGGCCCAUCUCGAAGCUUUGCUCCUCUUCCAUUCGAUGCAGUUACAAAAGCCGAGAAGCUGUCGGUCGUAGACGGCCAAUUCAGCUGCAAUUUACUGAAUUAGCA